GCUUCACUUCUCAAAGCGCUGCAUCCUCUCUCACCAUGGCCACAGCAGAGGUACUUCCCCAUCCCUCAAAGCAAGAACGGGACUUCAUGCAGUCAGCAUCGAAUCAAGCAAGGGAGAAAGCUCAGCUGGAGAAACAGCUUUGCAGGCUGCAACACCCAGAGGCAGAGAACCUAGGCUCCAUUCUCACCUUCUGUGGCUGUCUUUACACGUGCAGUACAGGACUGCAAGGGGACACAACCUACAGCACUGUUGGUGGGUCUACAUCAUACAAAUAUUUUCUGAUACUUCAGAUUUGCCUGCCACAAAGGGAGUCCAAUGAGCACACGACCCUAACAGCACUACAGACCAGCUCCAAACCACUCCUUAGGAAGAGCCUAAUGAAAACUAGCUAGUAAAUGUACUCAGUGAAUGAAGCUAAACCCAGCCAGCCCCAGCACACACCUGUGUUUGUACUGGACAGCCUCUCAGCACAAUCACCCCUUGCCUCUCCCCCCAAAACUGCCCUAGUUUCCAGUUCAGACAGUGGUGCCUUGUCUGCAGAACAUCGUGCUGGUUUUGCAAUGCCAAUAUUAUGUGCACUGCCCUGCUAGUACAGCAGGGCAAGAAUUGACUUCCCAUUUCCCCUGAUGCCUGAGUUGGUGGUGUUCACCACACAUUAGUGCCUGCUGCUGAUGGAGGAGGAGCAGAGCGAGCAUGUUUCUGUUGUGCUUGUGUGGUUGUGUGGGGCGAUGGAUUGAAGCCAAUAUGAGACCAAAAUACUGAGUGUUCACUUUAGGUUUUUUUUUGUUUUGUUUUGUUUUUUUUCCUGAAGCAAAGUCUUUGGGUGAAACAUGGUGGCUGUGUCCUGGGGAGUGAAAUUCAGUUAUUUUUUCUUGUAUCUUUAUCAUCUAUACACUUGCCUAUUCGUGCAACCUAAAUGCAGGACUGUAUUCAGUGAUACUAUUCACAUGCACAUGAAGGGGAAAAACGCUUUGCUUAAGCACCUCCUGAUCUGUAGUCAUUCAUGUUCAGAGCUGGCCAAAUAACAACCAGUGAACUGGAGUCUUCAGAGCUGCACUAAGAGCCCCAAGUCCUGUUGAGAUCCAGCAGAGACUGCACAUGGAUUAAGUUGGAACAUAAUGCAAAGCAGAGGAUUAUCCUCUUCUUGGUCAGUAUUUUCACACUUAAAACUGAC
rnacentral:lncRNA from 1 species